rnacentral:rRNA from 1 species
GACGAACGCUGGCGGCGUGCUUAACACAUGCAAGUCGAACGGAAAGGCCCUGCUUUUGUGGGGUGCUCGAGUGGCGAACGGGUGAGUAACACGUGAGUAACCUCCCCUUGACUUUCGGAUAACUUCAGGAAACUGGGGCUAAUACCCCAUAGGAGCUCCUGCUCCAUGGUGUUGGUUGGAAAAUUUCGGCGUUUGGGGAUAGACUCGCGGCUUAUCCGCUUGUUGGUCGGGUAGUUGCGUACCAAGGCUUCGACGGAUAGCCGGCCUGAGAGCGUGACCGGGGACAUGACGACUAAGGGACGGAGCAGUAUCCUACGGGAGGCAGCAGUGGGGAAUAUUGCGGAGUGGGCGGAAGCCAGUGGCAGAGACGCCGGGAGCGGAAUGACGGGCUACGAGUUGUAAACCGAUGUCGAAGUUACCGAAGCGGGAGUGACGGUAAUGAAUAAAGAAGCACCGGCUAACUACGUG